rnacentral:rRNA from 1 species
UACGGAGGGUGCAAGCGUUAUCCGGAUUCACUGGGUUUAAAGGGUGUGUAGGCGGGUAUUUAAGUCAGUGGUGAAAUCUCCAGGCUCAACCUGGAAACUGCCAUUGAUACUAUUUAUCUUGAAUUCUGUUGAGGUGGGCGGAAUACAUCAUGUAGCGGUGAAAUGCUUAGAUAUGAUGUAGAACACCGAUUGCGAAGGCAGCUCACUAAACAGAUAUUGACGCUGAGGCACGAAAGCGUGGGGAUCAAACAGG